AGGACGAACGCUGGCGGCGUGCUUAACACAUGCAAGUCGAGCGGAAAGGCCCUUCGGGGUACUCGAGCGGCGAACGGGUGAGUAACACGUGAGCAACCUGCCCUUAGCUCUGGGAUAGCUCCGGGAAACCGGAAUUAAUACCGGAUACGACCUAGGCCGACAUCGGCCGUGGUGGAAAGUUUUUCGGCUAGGGAUGGACUCGCGGCCUAUCAGCUAGUUGGUGGGGUAAAGGCCUACCAAGGCGACGACGGGUAGCCGGCCUGAGAGGGCGACCGGCCACACUGGGACUGAGACACGGCCCAGACUCCUACGGGAGGCAGCAGUGGGGAAUCUUGCGCAAUGGGCGAAAGCCUGACGCAGCGACGCCGCGUGGGGAUGAAGGCCUUCGGGUUGUAAACCCCUUCUAGCAGGACGAAGCGAAAGUGACGGUACCUGCAGAAGAAGACGCCGGCGUAACUACGUGCCAGCAGCCGC
rnacentral:rRNA from 1 species